rnacentral:rRNA from 1 species
UACGUAGGGUGCAAGCGUUUGUCCGGAAUUAUUGGGCGUAAAGAGCUCGUAGGCGGUUUGUCGCGUCUGCUGUGAAAACCCGAGGCUCAACCUCGGGCCUGCAGUGGGUACGGGCAGACUAGAGUGCGGUAGGGGAGAUUGGAAUUCCUGGUGUAGCGGUGGAAUGCGCAGAUAUCAGGAGGGAACACCAAUGGCGAAGGCAGAUCUCUGGGCCGUAACUGACGCUGGAGGAGCGAAAGCAUGGGGAGCGAACAGG